UAAUACGGAGGGUGCGAACGUUAAUCGGAAUCACUGGGCGUAAAGCGCGCGUAGGCGGUUUGUUAAGUGGGAUGUGAAAUCCCCGGGCUUAACCUGGGAAUUGCAUUUCAAACUGGCCGACUAGAGUACGGUAGAGGGAGGUAGAAUUUCCUGUGUAGCGGUGAAAUGCGUAGAUAUAGGAAGGAAUACCAGUGGCGAAGGCGGCCUCCUGGAUCGAUACUGACGCUGAGGCGCGAAAGCGUGGGGAGCAAACAGGAUUAGAUACCCUGGUAGUCCACGCCGUAAACGAUGAGAACUAGCCGUUGGACCCCUUGAGGGUUUAGUGGCGUAGCUAACGCGAUAAGUUCUCCGCCUGGGGAGUACGGCCGCAAGGCUA
rnacentral:rRNA from 1 species